AAAAUUCUGUGAACUCAGCAGUGGCUGAUGACCUUCCUGUUGCAGAGUGAACUCUCGGUGCAUUUGUUCAUUGAAGCUGCCAGCAAAGCUUCCAGGAGACUGUAUGUGCUCUGUCUGCAUGUUCUUCAGAAUAGUUGGGUCUUGCUCAGAGGAGAUGUUUUCCUUGGUCACAAGCAAUGAAGAUAUGUUUCCUCCUUUGAUGUGGACAUUCAGAAAUGAUGCCUCAGUGACUAUAGAUGUAUUGGCAUGGUGGCUCCAGCAGAUAGAAGGGCCAGAUGUACCUGUGAAUACUAGGCAGAAGAAGACUUGCAGGCCUAAAAUUAAGUGGCAGUGGUAGCAGAGAGUCAAAAAGAAAGUGACAGGUGGGGACAGAGAUUCUGAAAAG